GCCUUCGUGGUUUAACGGUAGCCCACUCGGCGGGUAUUCGAGAGAUCCAGGUUCGAGUCCUGGCAAGGGUA
rnacentral:tRNA from 1 species